rnacentral:rRNA from 1 species
CUAGCGGCGGACGGGUGAGUAACGCGUGAGCAACCUGUCCCAAACAGGGGGAUAACGAACCGAAAGGUUCACUAAUACCGCAUAAGACCACGGAGUCACAUGGCUCAGGGGUCAAAGGAGCAAUCCGGUUUGGGGUGGGCUCGCGUCUGAUUAGCUGGUUGGUGAGGUAACGGCCCACCAAGGCGACGAUCAGUAGCCGACCUGAGAGGGUGAUCGGCCACAUUGGAACUGAGACACGGUCCAAACUCCUACGGGAGGCAGCAGUGGGGAAUAUUGGGCAAUGGGCGAAAGCCUGACCCAGCAACGCCGCGUGAAGGAAGAAGGUCUUCGGAUCGUAAACUUCUAUCCUUGGUGAAGAUAAUGACGGUAGCCGAGAAGGAAGCCCCGGCUAACUACGUGCCAGCAGCCGCGGUAAUACGUAGGGGGCAAGCGUUGUCCGGAAUGAUUGGGCGUAAAGGGCGCGUAGGCGGCCUGGUAAGUCUGGAGUGAAAGUCCCGCUUUUAAGGUGGGAAUUGCUUUGGAUACUGUCGGGCUUGAGUGCAGGAGAGGUAAGUGGAAUUCCCGGUGUAGCGGUGAAAUGCGUAGAGAUCGGGAGGAACACCAGUGGCGAAGGCGACUUACUGGACUGUAACUGACGCUGAGGCGCGAAAGUGUGGGGAGCAAACAGGAUUAGAUACCCUGGUAGUCCACACUGUAAACGAUGAAUGCUAGGUGUAGGGGGUAUCGACCCCUUCUGUGCCGGAGUCAACACAAUAAGCAUUCCGCCUGGGGAGUACGGCCGCAAGGUUGAAACUCAAAGGAAUUGACGGGGGCCCGCACAAGCAGCGGAGCAUGUGGUUUAAUUCGAAGCAACGCGAAGAACCUUACCAGGUCUUGAC